AGCGAACGCUGGCGGCAGGCCUAACACAUGCAAGUCGAACGGACCCUUCGGGGUUAGUGGCGGACGGGUGAGUAACACGUGGGAACGUGCCUUUAGGUUCGGAAUAGCUCCUGGAAACGGGUGGUAAUACCGAAUGUGCCCUUCGGGGGAAAGAUUUAUCGCCUUUAGAGCGGCCCGCGUCUGAUUAGCUAGUUGGUGAGGUAAAGGCUCACCAAGGCGACGAUCAGUAGCUGGUCUGAGAGGAUGAUCAGCCACAUUGGGACUGAGACACGGCCCAAACUCCUACGGGAGGCAGCAGUGAGGAAUCUUGCGCAAUGGGCGAAAGCCUGACGCAGCCAUGCCGCGUGAAUGAUGAAGGUCUUAGGAUUGUAAAAUUCUUUCACCGGGGACGAUAAUGACGGUACCCGGAGAAGAAGCCCCGGCUAACUUCGUGCCAGCAGCCGCCGUAA
rnacentral:rRNA from 1 species